GCGCUCGUGGUGUAAUUGGCAGCCACGCCAGACUUAGGAUCUGGUGCCGAGAGGCGUGGGGGUUCGAGUCCCUUCGGGCGCAC
rnacentral:tRNA from 1 species